rnacentral:rRNA from 1 species
UGGGGAAUAUUGCACAAUGGGCGAAAGCCUGAUGCAGCAACGCCGCGUGAGUGAUGAAGGCCUUCGGGUUGUAAAGCUCUGUCUUUUGGGACGAUAAUGACGGUACCAAAGGAGGAAGCCACGGCUAACUACGUGCCAGCAGCCGCGGUAAUACGUAGGUGGCAAGCGUUGUCCGGAUUUACUGGGCGUAAAGGAUGCGUAGGCGGAUUUUUAAGUGAGAUGUGAAAACCCUAAGCUUAACUUGGGGACUGCAUUUCAUACUGGAAAUCUAGAGUGCGGGAGAGGAGAAUGGAAUUCCUAGUGUAGCGGUGAAAUGCGUAGAGAUUAGGAAGAACACCAGUGGCGAAGGCGAUUCUCUGGACCGUAACUGACGCUGAGGCAUGAAAAGCGUGGGUAGCAAAACAGGAUUAGAUACCCUGGUAGUCCACGCCGUAAACGAUGAGUACUAGGUGUAGGAGGUAUCGACCCCUUCUGUGCCGCAGUUAACACAAUAAGUACUCCGCCUGGGAAGUACGAUCGCAAGAUUAAAAACUCAAAAGGAAUUGACGGGGGUCAUAGCUGUUUUCCU